UCCAGGUUCAUUUGUGAUUAUCAUUAUCACUGCGGAGGCUUUAGUUUUACUCCUGAUAGCAGUUCCACUGAUUAUAGUGGCUGUGCGGAUGAGAAAGAAGAAUAAAGGUCUGCUGUCGUCCGCCACUGUUGUGUUUAAUCCAGUGAUUUAUGAUCAGAUCAAAGACACUGGACACUUCUGUAACCCAGAGGACAGAGACACAGAAACAACUGUAUUUUACAGCUGUGUUCCAUAAACUAUAACGUCAUAUGAGACUCGAGCACUCCUUCAUAAACACAGAGGAGUUCAUUACACCAAACCUCAGGCUGGAUACACACUUGAAGAUUUUAAACCCGGUUUGGACCCCAAGUGAUCGGGGGUCGCGGCCAGAUUCAAUGCUUGUU